GGCUAGAAAGCAAAAUGGUUUUUAUGCGAAAGAUUGCAAAUCUUUUAGUUAUUGGUUCGAAUCCAAUUCUAGCUU
rnacentral:tRNA from 1 species